rnacentral:rRNA from 1 species
GACGAACGCUGGCGGCGUGCCUAAUACAUGCAAGUAGAACGCUGAAGGAGGAGCUUGCUCUUCUGGAUGAGUUGCGAACGGGUGAGUAACGCGUAGGUAACCUGCCUGGUAGCGGGGGAUAACUAUUGGAAACGAUAGCUAAUACCGCAUAAGAGUAGAUGUUGCAUGACAUUUGCUUAAAAGGUGCAAUUGCAUCACUACCAGAUGGACCUGCGUUGUAUUAGCUAGUUGGUGAGGUAACGGCUCACCAAGGCGACGAUACAUAGCCGACCUGAGAGGGUGAUCGGCCACACUGGGACUGAGACACGGCCCAGACUCCUACGGGAGGCAGCAGUAGGGAAUCUUCGGCAAUGGACGGAAGUCUGACCGAGCAACGCCGCGUGAGUGAAGAAGGUUUUCGGAUCGUAAAGCUCUGUGUAAGAGAAGAACGAGUGUGAGA